rnacentral:rRNA from 1 species
UGGGGAAUAUUGCACAAUGGGGGAAACCCUGAUGCAGCGACGCUGCGUGAGCGAAGAAGUAUUUCGGUAUGUAAAGCUCUAUCAGCAGGGAAGAAAAUGACGGUACCUGACUAAGAAGCACCGGCUAAAUACGUGCCAGCAGCCGCGGUAAUACGUAUGGUGCAAGCGUUAUCCGGAUUUACUGGGUGUAAAGGGUGAGUAGGCGGGCAAACAAGUCAGAUGUGAAAUCUAUGUGCUCAACGCAUAGACUGCGUCUGAAACUGUAUGUCUUGAGUGUCGGAGGGUAGAUGGAAUUCCCGGUGUAGCGGUGAAAUGCGUAGAUAUCGG